GACGUAGGGUGCGAGCGUUGUCCGGAUUUAUUGGGCGUAAAGAGCGUGUAGGCGGCCAGAUAGGUCCGUUGUGAAAACUGGAGGCUUAACCUCCAGCUGUCGAUGGAAACCAUCUGGCUAGAGUCCGGAAGAGGAGAGUGGAAUUCCUGGUGUAGCGGUGAAAUGCGCAGAUAUCAGGAAGAACACCCGUGGCGAAGGCGGCUCUCUGGGACGGUACUGACGCUGAGACGCGAAAGCGUGGGGAGCGAACAGG
rnacentral:rRNA from 1 species